rnacentral:rRNA from 1 species
GAGCGGAUGAGGGGUGCUUGCACCUCGAUUCAGCGGCGGACGGGUGAGAAACGCCUAGGAAUCUGCCCGAUAGUGGGGGACAACGUUUCGAAAGGAACGCUAAUACCGCAUACGUCCUACGGGAGAAAGUGGGGGCUCUUCGGACCUCACGCUAUCGGAUGAGCCUAGGUCGGAUUAGCUAGUUGGUGGGGUAAAGGCUCACCAAGGCGACGAUCCGUAACUGGUCUGAGAGGAUGAUCAGUCACACUGGAACUGAGACACGGUCCAGACUCCUACGGGAGGCAGCAGUGGGGAAUAUUGGACAAUGGGCGAAAGCCUGAUCCAGCCAUGCCGCGUGUGUGAAGAAGGUCUUCGGAUUGUAAAGCACUUUAAGUCGGGAGGAAGGGCUGUAAGCGAAUACCUUGCAGUUUUGACGUUACCGACAGAAUAAGCACCGGCUAACUUCGUGCCAGCAGCCGCGGUAAUACGAAGGGUGCAAGCGUUAAUCGGAGUUACUGGGCGUAAAGCGCGCGUACGUGGUUUGGUAAGUUGGAUGUGAAAGCCCCGGGUGCGACCUGCGAACUGCAUCCAA